rnacentral:rRNA from 1 species
CGCGGCCUAUCAGCUUGUUGGUGAGGUAAUGGCUCACCAAGGCGACGACGGGUAGCCGGCCUGAGAGGGCGACCGGCCACACUGGGACUGAGACACGGCCCAGACUCCUACGGGAGGCAGCAGUAGGGAAUAUUGGGUAAUGGGCGAAAGCCUGACCCAGCGACGCCGCGUGAGGGAUGAAGGUCUUCGGAUUGUAAACCUCUUUCAGUAGGGAAGAAGCGAAAGUGACGGUACCUAAAGAAGAAGCACCGGCUAACUAUGUGCCAGCAGCCGCGGUAAUACAUAGGGUGCAAGCGUUGUCCGGAAUUAUUGGGCGUAAAGAGCUCGUAGGUCGUUUGUCGCGUCGAUUGUGAAAAUCUGAGGCUCAACCUCAGACCUGCAGUCGAUACGGGCAAACUAGAGUGUGGUAGGGGAGACUGGAAUUCCUGGUGUAGCGGUGGAAUGCGCAGAUAUCAGGAGGAACACCAAUGGCGAAGGCAGGUCUCUGGGCCAUAACUGACACUGAGGAGCGAAAGUGCGGGGAGCGAACAGGAUUAGAUACCCUGGUAGUCCGCACCGUAAACGGUGGGCACUAGUUGUGGGAACCUUCCACGGUUUCCGCGACGCAGCAAACGCAUUAAGUGCCCCGCCUGGGGAGUACGG